rnacentral:rRNA from 1 species
AGCGAACGCUGGCGGCAGGCCUAACACAUGCAAGUCGAACGAAGCCUUCGGGCUUAGUGGCGGACGGGUGAGUAACACGUGGGAACGUACCUUUUGGUUCGGAAUAACGCAGAGAAAUUUGCGCUAAUACCGAAUGAGCCCUUAGGGGGAAAGAUUUAUCGCCGAAAGAUCGUCCCGCGUUGGAUUAGGUAGUUGGUGUGGUAAAGGCUCACCAAGCCUGCGAUCACUAGCUGGUCUGAGAGGAUGAUCAGCCACACUGGGACUGAGACACGGCCCAGACUCCUACGGGAGGCAGCAGUGGGGAAUCUUGCGCAAUGGGCGAAAGCCUGACGCAGCCAUGCCGCGUGAAUGAUGAAGGUCUUAGGAUUGUAAAAUUCUUUUACCAGGGACGAUAAUGACGGUACCUGGAGAAAAAGCCCCGGCUAACUUCGUGCCAGCAGCCGCAGUAACAC